rnacentral:rRNA from 1 species
UACGAAGGGAGCUAGCGUUGUUCGGAAUCACUGGGCGUAAAGCGCACGUAGGCGGAUGUGUCAGUCAGGGGUGAAAUCCCGGAGCUCAACUUCGGAACUGCCUUUGAUACAGCACGUCUUGAGUCCGGAAGAGGUGGGUGGAAUUCCUAGUGUAGAGGUGAAAUUCGUAGAUAUUAGGAAGAACACCGGUGGCGAAGGCGGCCCACUGGGCCGGUACUGACGCUGAGGUGCGAAAGCGUGGGGAGCAAACAGG